UCCCUGGUGGUCUAGUGGCUAAGGAUCCAGCGUUCUCAUUGCUGCGGCACUGGUUAGUUUCCCGUGCAAGGAA